ensembl:snoRNA SNORD16 Small nucleolar RNA SNORD16
UGCAGUGAUGGUGUAAUUUGCGUCCUACACUGUGAACAGUGACAUUAUGCCUGAUGUCGUAUGCUGGCACACGUGGCUGACGAACCUUGAGUCUGAGCA